CCUACGGGAGGCUGCAGUGAGGAAUAUUGGUCAAUGGACGAGAGUCUGAACCAGCCAAGUAGCGUGAAGGAUGACUGCCCUAUGGGUUGUAAACUUCUUUUAUAUGGGAAUAAAAUGUUCCACGUGUGGGAUGUUGUAUGUACCAUAUGAAUAAGGAUCGGCUAACUCCGUGCCAGCAGCCGCGGUAAUACGGAGGAUCCGAGCGUUAUCCGGAUUUAUUGGGUUUAAAGGGAGCGUAGGUGGAUUGUUAAGUCAGUUGUGAAAGUUUGCGGCUCAACCGUAAAAUUGCAGUUGAAACUGGCAGUCUUGAGUACAGUAGAGGUGGGCGGAAGUCGUGGUGUAGCGGUGAAAUGCUUAGAUAUCACGAAGAACUCCGAUUGCGAAGGCAGCUCACUGGACUGCAACUGACACUGAGGCUCGAAAGUGUGGGUAUCAAACAGGAUUAGAUACCCUAGUAGUC
rnacentral:rRNA from 1 species